AUUUUGAGCAUUGCUUUGUUUAGCAUUUAGGGAAAACUCUUUCGGAGCUACUUUUAUGAUUGGAGUGCUGCUCUGUUUUUUUUUCUUUGGUUACAUGGAGGUCUUAAACAAGACCUAAAACAGCAAGAGAAAUGAGCCAAGUUACAGACCAUGCAGAGUGCGCCUAGGUCUAGAAACUUUAGGGAGGUCAUCAAGAGAAGCAGUAGCAAACUCAAAUAAGAUAAUACCAUGGUCAUGCUCCAAACCAGUCUCAGCAAGGGAAUGAGCAUUGCAGUUGUGUUAUGAGAUUCACCAAGAGGAUGGGACUCAGUGUCUCUAUGCAGAACAAGGUUUACCAGGAUUGAAGAGUACAAUUCAGUCUCAAUUUGGUAAUAUUGCAAUUCAAAGCCAUUCAGACCAAUUAAUAAGCCCCAAGCUUUAGCAUCUAACAAUUGGCCUGAAUACCUAAAUUUGCUUGGAAGAUCACCAAGGUCGCCAUUGACAAAGUGUCUGGGAAGAUCACCAAGGUCGGUAGGUCAUUUUCCAGGUCCAGGGACUAUGACACCAUGGGACCCAGUGUUAAGUAAGUCCAGUGGUCCUGACAGGGAGUUGCAGGAGUGUAAGGAGGUUGUGCAUUGCGUCACACUUCAUGAGAUUGAUGUCAUCAACAGCAAAACACAAGGAUUUCUGGCUCUCUUUACAGGAGAUACUGGUGAAAUUCAUUCAGAAGUGAGAGAACAGAUUGACACACAGGUAGCAGAGUGUAGAGGAAGGGAAGGCAGAAAUUGUGCCAGGUGUUCUCUUCAUAGAUGAGGUGCAUAUGCUUGCCAUUGAGUGCUUUUCAUUUUUCAAUAGUGCUUUGGAGAAUGAGAUGGCUCCAAUUUUAGUUAUUGCUACGAAGAGAGGGAUCACUACGAUCAGAGGCACAAACUAUAAAUCCCCCCAUGGGAUUCCAAUUGAUCCCUUGAUCGCCUGCAUAUAAUCACCGUUCAGCCUUAUACAGAGGGUGAAAUUCGCAAGAUUCUUGACAUAAGAUCCCAAGAAUAAGGAGUUGAGAUGUCUGAAGAGGCAAAGCAUUUGUUGACCUAGAUUGGUGUAGAUGCAUCCCUGAGAUAUGCCAUCCAUCUCAUAACAGCUGCUGCAUUGGCAUGCCUAAAGCGGAAGGGAAAGAUUGUUGAAGUGGAGGAUAUUAACCAUGUUUAUCUGAUGCUUGAUGGAGCAUCAGAAUCAGUACAUGUUCAACAAUGCUGAUGAAGAUGAUACCAAUGCCAUGCAAUCUUGAGAAGUCCCUCUGGACUAGAAAGACUUUGAGGUUAUUGGAGUAUGUUGCUUUAGCGGUUAUGUGCAGCAUUGAGCUUCGCUUAGGGGAAAUGGCAUUACUAGUAUGAUAUAUCCUGUGAGGGUGUUAGAAUUUGGCAAGUAGUUUUGUGGAUUUUCUUUGUGUAGAGUUGAAUCUGUAAGUUUUGUCUACAGUUGAUGUACUGAAUGGGAGACUCUGCAAAUAUGUUUACAAUGGUUUUGGGCUUCUCCCGCCCAACCAUCGCCAAUUUUGGUUAUAAUGCUCAGAUCAAGUUCCUUGCUUAUACAAGUAUCCUUUACUUGAACUUCGUAGUAAAAGUCUAAAUUGAUGUCAUACU